AUGGAAGUGUUAUAGUUUUAAUAUUUAAAAUUUUGAUGCAUAGAUAAAAAAGAUGUAACUUUUGAGAAAAGUAGAAUUGUUUAGGGUUUAGCAUGUGGGAAAUGAUAGCAUGAGGACCCAAGAUGAGGAAAAAUGUUGUGAAGAAUCCAAUAAAUGAGAAGACAAGAUCCAUUGAGGCUGACCCAAGUAAUGCUUUCCUUCCAAACAAUAAGUUGGUCUCGGAUUGGAUACUUUUAGACCAUCAUUAUUCAAACACUCCAACUGGGUCCUCUCUUUUACUUUUCUUAACCCUCAAUUAUCACUCUCAUGCCAAUAAUCACAAUCACUACGCUAACCCCACAACAUUUUCAAACAUUUUUCAUUACCAUACAACCUUAAUUUUUCAAACUACCCUCCAAUACAAGUUAACAUUCAUGAAUUAUGUGUACACAGUCAAUGAUUUUGCUUUAAGGAACAGAAUUCCC
rnacentral:lncRNA from 1 species